AAAUUGAAGAGUUUGAUCAUGGCUCAGAUUGAACGCUGGCGGCAGGCCUAACACAUGCAAGUCGAACGGUAACAGGAAGCAGCUUGCUGCUUCGCUGACGAGUGGCGGACGGGUGAGUAAUGUCUGGGAAACUGCCUGAUGGAGGGGGAUAACUACUGGAAACGGUGGCUAAUACCGCAUAACGUCGCAAGACCAAAGAGGGGGACCUUCGGGCCUCUUGCCAUCAGAUGUGCCCAGAUGGGAUUAGCUAGUUGGUGAGGUAACGGCUCACCAAGGCGACGAUCCCUAGCUGGUCUGAGAGGAUGACCAGCCACACUGGAACUGAGACACGGUCCAGACUCCUA
rnacentral:rRNA from 1 species